rnacentral:rRNA from 1 species
GAUGAACGCUGGCGGCGUGCCUAAUACAUGCAAGUCGAGCGAACAGACGAGGAGCUUGCUCCUCUGACGUUAGCGGCGGACGGGUGAGUAACACGUGGAUAACCUACCUAUAAGACUGUGAUAACUUCGGGAAACCGGAGCUAAUACCGGAUAAUAUAUUGAACCGCAUGGUUCAAUAGUGAAAGACGGUUUUGCUGUCACUUAUAGAUGGAUCCGCGCCGCAUUAGCUAGUUGGUAAGGUAACGGCUUACCAAGGCGACGAUGCGUAGCCGACCUGAGAGGGGGAUCGGCCACAAUGGAAAUGAGAAAAGGGCCAGAAUACUACGGGAGGCAGCAGUAGGGAAUCUUCCGGAAUGGGCGAAAGCCUGACGGAGCAACGACGCGUGAGGGAUGAAGGUCUUCGGAUCGUAAAACUCUGUUAUUAGGGAAGAACAAAUGUGUAAGUAACUAUGCACGUCUUGACGGUACCUAAUCAGAAAGCCACGGCUAACUACGUG